UACGUAGGGUCCGAGCGUUGUCCGGAAUUAUUGGGCGUAAAGAGCUCGUAGGCGGUUUGUCGCGUCUGCUGUGAAAUCCCGAGGCUCAACCUCGGGUCUGCAGUGGGUACGGGCAGACUGGAGUGCGGUAGGGGAGAAUGGAAUUCCUGGUGUAGCGGUGGAAUGCGCAGAUAUCAGGAGGAACACCGAUGGCGAAGGCGGUUCUCUGGGACGGUACUGACGCUGAGACGCGAAAGCGUGGGGAGCGAACAGG
rnacentral:rRNA from 1 species